AAUAAGUGCAGCCUUGUACGGUUCACGUCUAAUAUUUAACUUUUUGUCUUAUUUAAAAAUUUUUUAUUAUUAGUAUUUUUAUUGUUAUUAGAUGAUAAAAUAUGAGUAAUAUUUUAUGUGUGACUAAUUUAUUUUAAUUUUUUCAUAAACUUUUCAAAGACGGACGGUCAAAAGUUUUGACACUUAUU
rnacentral:pre_miRNA from 1 species